rnacentral:rRNA from 1 species
GACUUCUGGUUUAAUGCACCUGGCCCGCGGCUCUUUAGGCUUGUGAGCCGGCGCGAGUUUACCAUCCUUCUGGGGAACGGGUCUACCCUUAACUGGCCGGAUUCGGGAUCAUUCACUUUGAAAAAAUUAGAGUGUUUAAAGCAGGCGAUUGCUAUGAAUACAUUAGCAUGGAAUAAUAAUCUAGGACUUCGGUUCUAUUUUGUUGGUUUCUCUAACUGAAGUAAUGAUUGAUAGGGAUACCGGUCAGAGGUGAAAUUCUUGGAUUCGGUCAAGACUCACUUAUGCGAAAGCAUU